UGAAGAGUGGUUGAUUUUGACAUUUUCGGGUCCAGAUUACGUUUCUAAUCCUGGGUUUUUCAAAGUUUUGGUGCAGGUCUCACGGAGCAUCCACUUUAAGCUGCCAUCUUAGUUCGUGGCUCCACAGCGCCCCCCCUCAGCCACACUUCAAAUCAA